rnacentral:rRNA from 1 species
AUACGUAGGGGGCGAGCGUUGUCCGGAAUGAUUGGGCGUAAAGGGCGCGUAGGCGGCGCGGUAAGUCUGGAGUGAAAGUCCUGCUUUCAAGGUGGGAAUUGCUUUGGAUACUGCCGCGCUUGAGUGCAGGAGAGGUUAUCGGAAUUCCCGGUGUAGCGGUGAAAUGCGUAGAGAUCGGGAGGAACACCAGUGGCGAAGGCGGGUAACUGGACUGCAACUGACGCUGAGGCGCGAAAGUGUGGGGAGCAAACAGGAUUAGAUACCCUGGUAGUCCGCACUGUAAACGAUGAAUGCUAGGUGUAAGAGGUAUCGACCCCUUUUGUGCCGGAGUUAACACAAUAAGCAUUCCGCCUGGGGAGUACGGCAGCAAGGUUGAAACUCAAAGGAAUUGACGGGG